rnacentral:tRNA from 1 species
UCCCUGAUGGUCCAGUGGUUCAGACUCGGCAUUUUCACUGCUGGGGACUGGGGUUCAAUUCCUGGUCAGGGAA